rnacentral:rRNA from 1 species
AACACGUGGGUAACCUGCCCAUCAGAAGGGGAUAACACUUGGAAACAGGUGCUAAUACCGUAUAACAAUCAAAACCGCAUGGUUUUGAUUUGAAAGGCGCUUUCGGGUGUCGCUGAUGGAUGGACCCGCGGUGCAUUAGCUAGUUGGUGAGGUAACGGCUCACCAAGGCCACGAUGCAUAGCCGACCUGAGAGGGUGAUCGGCCACAUUGGGACUGAGACACGGCCCAAACUCCUACGGGAGGCAGCAGUAGGGAAUCUUCGGCAAUGGACGAAAGUCUGACCGAGCAACGCCGCGUGAGUGAAGAAGGUUUUCGGAUCGUAAAACUCUGUUGUUAGAGAAGAACAAGGAUGAGAGUAACUGUUCAUCCCUUGACGGUAUCUAACCAGAAAGCCACGGCUAACUACGUGCCAGCAGCCGCGGUAAUACGUAGGUGGCAAGCGUUGUCCGGA